GACAGAGGUGGCAAGCGUUGUCCGGAAUUACUGGGCGUAAAGAGCGCGUAGGUGGCUAGAUAAGUCCGGUGUGAAAUCCUUCGGCUUAACCGGGGAAUGGCAUCGGGGACUGUAUAGCUAGAGGACGGAAGAGGAGAGCGGAAUUCCCGGUGUAGCGGUGAAAUGCGUAGAGAUCUCCAAGAACACCAGUUGCGAAGGCGGCCGACUGGACCCAUAUUGACGCUGAGGCUCGAAAGCAUGGGGAGCAAACAGG
rnacentral:rRNA from 1 species